AGUGAACGCUGGCGGUAGGCCUAACACAUGCAAGUCGAACGGCAGCACAGUAAGAGCUUGCUCUUACGGGUGGCGAGUGGCGGACGGGUGAGGAAUACAUCGGAAUCUACUUUUUCGUGGGGGAUAACGUAGGGAAACUUACGCUAAUACCGCAUACGACCUACGGGUGAAAGCAGGGGAUCUUCGGACCUUGCGCGAUUGAAUGAGCCGAUGUCGGAUUAGCUAGUUGGCGGGGUAAAGGCCCACCAAGGCGACGAUCCGUAGCUGGUCUGAGAGGAUGAUCAGCCACACUGGAACUGAGACACGGUCCAGACUCCUACGGGAGGCAGCAGUGGGGAAUAUUGGGCAAUGGGCGCAAGCCUGAUCCAGCCAUACCGCGUGGGUGAAGAAGGCCUUCGGGUUGUAAAGCCCUUUUGUUGGGAAAGAAAAGCAGCAGGUUAAUAACCCGCUGUUCUGACGGUACCCAAAGAAUAAGCACCGGCUAACUUCGUG
rnacentral:rRNA from 1 species